GGUUAAGCGACUAAGCGUACACGGUGGAUGCCCUGGCAGUCAGAGGCGAUGAAGGACGUGCUAAUCUGCGAUAAGCGUCGGUAAGGUGAUAUGAACCGUUAUAACCGGCGAUUUCCGAAUGGGGAAACCCAGUGUGAUUCGUCACACUAUCAUUAACUGAAUCCAUAGGUUAAUGAGGCGAACCGGGGGAACUGAAACAUCUAAGUACCCCGAGGAAAAGAAAUCAACCGAGAUUCCCCCAGUAGCGGCGAGCGAACGGGGAGCAGCCCAGAGCCUGAAUCAGUGUGUGUGUUAGUGGAAGCGUCUGGAAAGGCGUGCGAUACAGGGUGACAGCCCCGUACACAAAAAUGCACAUAUUGUGAGCUCGAUGAGUAGGGCGGGACACGUGGUAUCCUGUCUGAAUAUGGGGGGACCAUCCUCCAAGGCUAAAUACUCCUGACUGACCGAUAGUGAACCAGUACCGUGAGGGAAAGGCGAAAAGAACCCCGGCGAGGGGAGUGAAAAAGAACCUGAAACCGUGUACGUACAAGCAGUGGGAGCACGCUUAGGCGUGUGACUGCGUACCUUUUGUAUAAUGGGUCAGCGACUUAUAUUCUGUAGCAAGGUUAACCGAAUAGGGGAGCCGAAGGGAAACCGAGUCUUAACUGGGCGUUAAGUUGCAGGGUAUAGACCCGAAACCCGGUGAUCUAGCCAUGGGCAGGUUGAAGGUUGGGUAACACUAACUGGAGGACCGAACCGACUAAUGUUGAAAAAUUAGCGGAUGACUUGUGGCUGGGGGUGAAAGGCCAAUCAAACCGGGAGAUAGCUGGUUCUCCCCGAAAGCUAUUUAGGUAGCGCCUCGUGAAUUCAUCUCCGGGGGUAGAGCACUGUUUCGGCAAGGGGGUCAUCCCGACUUACCAACCCGAUGCAAACUGCGAAUACCGGAGAAUGUUAUCACGGGAGACACACGGCGGGUGCUAACGUCCGUCGUGAAGAGGGAAACAACCCAGACCGCCAGCUAAGGUCCCAAAGUCAUGGUUAAGUGGGAAACGAUGUGGGAAGGCCCAGACAGCCAGGAUGUUGGCUUAGAAGCAGCCAUCAUUUAAAGAAAGCGUAAUAGCUCACUGGUCGAGUCGGCCUGCGCGGAAGAUGUAACGGGGCUAAACCAUGCACCGAAGCUGCGGCAGCGACGCUGAUGCGUUGUUGGGUAGGGGAGCGUUCUGUAAGCCUGCGAAGGUGUGCUGUGAGGCAUGCUGGAGGUAUCAGAAGUGCGAAUGCUGACAUAAGUAACGAUAAAGCGGGUGAAAAGCCCGCUCGCCGGAAGACCAAGGGUUCCUGUCCAACGUUAAUCGGGGCAGGGUGAGUCGACCCCUAAGGCGAGGCCGAAAGGCGUAGUCGAUGGGAAACAGGUUAAUAUUCCUGUACUUGGUGUUACUGCGAAGGGGGGACGGAGAAGGCUAUGUUGGCCGGGCGACGGUUGUCCCGGUUUAAGCGUGUAGGCUGGUUUUCCAGGCAAAUCCGGAAAAUCAAGGCUGAGGCGUGAUGACGAGGCACUACGGUGCUGAAGCAACAAAUGCCCUGCUUCCAGGAAAAGCCUCUAAGCAUCAGGUAACAUCAAAUCGUACCCCAAACCGACACAGGUGGUCAGGUAGAGAAUACCAAGGCGCUUGAGAGAACUCGGGUGAAGGAACUAGGCAAAAUGGUGCCGUAACUUCGGGAGAAGGCACGCUGAUAUGUAGGUGAAGUCCCUCGCGGAUGGAGCUGAAAUCAGUCGAAGAUACCAGCUGGCUGCAACUGUUUAUUAAAAACACAGCACUGUGCAAACACGAAAGUGGACGUAUACGGUGUGACGCCUGCCCGGUGCCGGAAGGUUAAUUGAUGGGGUCAGCGCAAGCGAAGCUCUUGAUCGAAGCCCCGGUAAACGGCGGCCGUAACUAUAACGGUCCUAAGGUAGCGAAAUUCCUUGUCGGGUAAGUUCCGACCUGCACGAAUGGCGUAAUGAUGGCCAGGCUGUCUCCACCCGAGACUCAGUGAAAUUGAACUCGCUGUGAAGAUGCAGUGUACCCGCGGCAAGACGGAAAGACCCCGUGAACCUUUACUAUAGCUUGACACUGAACAUUGAGCCUUGAUGUGUAGGAUAGGUGGGAGGCUUUGAAGUGUGGACGCCAGUCUGCAUGGAGCCGACCUUGAAAUACCACCCUUUAAUGUUUGAUGUUCUAACGUGGACCCGUAAUCCGGGUUGCGGACAGUGUCUGGUGGGUAGUUUGACUGGGGCGGUCUCCUCCUAAAGAGUAACGGAGGAGCACGAAGGUUGGCUAAUCCUGGUCGGACAUCAGGAGGUUAGUGCAAUGGCAUAAGCCAGCUUGACUGCGAGCGUGACGGCGCGAGCAGGUGCGAAAGCAGGUCAUAGUGAUCCGGUGGUUCUGAAUGGAAGGGCCAUCGCUCAACGGAUAAAAGGUACUCCGGGGAUAACAGGCUGAUACCGCCCAAGAGUUCAUAUCGACGGCGGUGUUUGGCACCUCGAUGUCGGCUCAUCACAUCCUGGGGCUGAAGUAGGUCCCAAGGGUAUGGCUGUUCGCCAUUUAAAGUGGUACGCGAGCUGGGUUUAGAACGUCGUGAGACAGUUCGGUCCCUAUCUGCCGUGGGCGCUGGAGAACUGAGGGGGGCUGCUCCUAGUACGAGAGGACCGGAGUGGACGCAUCACUGGUGUUCGGGUUGUCAUGCCAAUGGCACUGCCCGGUAGCUAAAUGCGGAAGAGAUAAGUGCUGAAAGCAUCUAAGCACGAAACUUGCCCCGAGAUGAGUUCUCCCUGACUCCUUGAGAGUCCUGAAGGAACGUUGAAGACGACGACGUUGAUAGGCCGGGUGUGUAAGCGCAGCGAUGCGUUGAGCUAACCGGUACUAAUGAACCGUGAGGCUUAACCUU
rnacentral:rRNA from 1 species